UCUGGCCCGCCCAGGCCCGAGUGCCGCCGUCACCACCAGCGCCCGACCCCGAGCUCCUCCUCCCGUGCGCCUCCUCCCUGGCUUCCCUCGCGCGUCGUCCGGCGACCGGCGCCGCCGCCGCCGACCACCCAGGUCACGCCGCCGCUUCCAUGCCUUCUCUCUCUCUAAUCUUCUUGUCUCUCCUCUCCAGGAGCUCAGCGCCAGCGCCAUGGAUGUCCAGUCCUCGAGCUCUCCUCGGAGAUUCAAACGCCGCCACGGGACCUCCACCAGCCAGAUCCGGCGCCUACCUCCCGGAUCCGCGCUCCCUCCACCUCCUCUACCCGAUCCGGCGCCAUCGAACCCGCCAAGACCUCCACCAUGGAGUUCCUAUAGCUCGUCCCCUGCCUCCUCGUCCUAUGCUCGAGGGAGACGCCCCUCCAGCGCAUCCAGGACAAGGCCCACCGCCAGCCGGUCGUUGUUGCACUCACCGGCGACCUCACCCUCCCCUCUGCACUACCCUCCACCUCAACUGAUGCUUCUCACCAACAGGGAUAUAUUUAGCUGGUCAUAGCUUGUGGAUGUUCUCUGUUAAUUUUUGCACACAAGGUGUUUGUGUGUUUGUCCAAGCCAAUGUUCAUGAGCUUUAUCUUUGUUAUAAAUGACAUGGCUGAGAAAGUCCCUUCAAUGAAAGGAGGAGGAGUAUAGUCUUGGCCAUGGCUGGGAAGGAAGGAGAACAUGCCUUCAUGCUGGACCGAGGAGGAGAAGAAGGGGGGCACGUCGAAGGUGCCGGUGGAGCGCGCCGUCGAGAUUGUUGAUGACAGCGACACGGGCGAGGCCGGGGAGGAGGUCAUGGUUGAUGCUUUACUGCCUGAAUAUGUUGACCGGGAACAAGAGGGUAAGAUGGAUGUGAGGGCGGAGGCGCAUGCCAUGGUGCAGGAUGUUGUGGAAGCCUGAUUAUUUGAGGAAGUGACAGCCACUGGGAGCAUGGAUCGACAGACUAGACAGCAGACCAAGUCCAUUGAUCGGUUGAUUCAACAACGAAGGAAGAGGCGGAAGGUUAUAAAAACGAGCUUGGGGAUUUACUGACCUGAAUCUUAAACAAGGCCGCCCUGCUGAUGGACUCAAGCUCCAGAUAUGCAAAGUCAUAGUCCUGCAUGUAUGGACAUCUACUGAUGCAUACAAGCCGAUCGACGGGCACACACAUUAGUAAGUUCUGCUACUAGCCUAAUCAAGAGCCUUUUAUACAACCCCGCAAAAAAAAGCCUUUUAUACAGCCUUGCAGAUUAAAAAUGAAUUGAAUUAUGAGCAUCUGACAACUACGAUCAAUUUCCUGGUUAUACUUCCUGAAAUAAAGGUGGCCGACCAAAUGAAAGGAUGGAUGCUUUCCUUUAUGUGAGAUAAUGUACAUUAUCUUACUUGAUCUGCAAUGUUUCUUUGGUAAUUUUUUAUGAAAGACACAUGACACAUAGUUUGCUGGAUAGGUCUAAGAUAAAUAUUUCAGUUAUAGGAGGAUAUUUUUAAAUGGGUAAUACUAUUACUGCCAUCUGCUUGGCCUGUCGUGCUUUCGGUAGAGCUUUCAUAUUUCAACACAAAAAAACAACAAUGCAAGUUGGGACCAUAAUAGCACACACAUCCUGAAAGGAAACAUCAGUUGGGAGUGCUCAAGUAUUCAGUUUCUUGGAUGAUGUAUUAUGUUCUCGCUUAUCAUGUACUCCCUCUGUAAACAAAUAUAAGACCUUUUAUAUAGAUAACUAAAGUAGUGAUCUAACAGGUCCUAUAUUUGUUAGAGGGAGUAUGUUUCUAGAUAUCCGUCAACUCCAAUGUUUCAUUUAUCUGCUCUCUGAAUAUGAAGAAGAUAGGCUUGCAAAGUAGCUUUUUAUGUGAAUAAUGUGACAAACAUUUAUGUCUUAUAACUGCAAACAUUUUUUUGUUUAGUCCGUCACCGAGCAAAUGUUUGGGAGUUGGAAAUUAUUUGGAUACACAUGAUCUCAGCAAAGAAAUAUUCACACAUACUACAACCAAAGGACCUCCUGAGGGUGGUCAGGAAGAAAAGCCAAAACCACCAGACGAAGGGGCGCUGGUCUCUGGUUCUUGGCGAAGGCCACCGCAGCUCAUCUCCAAGACCUCUGCUGUCGUGUGUCCCCCAAGUUCUUCACCGAAUCUCCUCGCCCGCUGGCUACUGCUCUUCUUCUCCCUCGAAUACAUCUCUGCUUCUGAUCCUCUGCUGCCGCCCCUAACCUGCUGCUUUUGGUCUCUGAUGCUGCCCUCGACUGCUGUACCUCUCCUUCUCCAACGAAUUGUUGUUCCUAAUCUUCUCUGAACCCAAACUGUUGCUGCUCCGCUUCCUCUCUGAACCUCAGUCUGCUGCUGCUUCUCUCAUUCAGAGUAAACCAAUAAGCAGGAAUUUUUGUGGACUUCUAGGUCGUUUUUCCUUUGGUAACAGUUAUUGUUAGUUCUAAACAAUUUUUCAGUGCCACGAUUAGGCUUCCAAGGGUUCAGACAAUGAUGAAGAAGCCUUUUAUAUCACACACUAUAUAAUAUCAUGGAAUCACAACCUUAUAACAACUAAUUUAAGAGGCUAUGUUCUGGUUUGCUGUAUCUCCACCAGUUUGGGUUGGUCUGAUAGCUAACCUAAACUGAAUAGGGAAUAAGGAGUACUUUAGUUGGUAUUGAAAGUGGUAUGUUUACUUUCAAGCUGAAAAUCUUGCAAGUUUGGUCCUGGGAUAUUUAAUGCUCCCUUUUCUUAUUAUCUUCCAAUCAUACUAUACAUAUUUAGUUUUUUUACUUUCUCUUGACAAGUGAACUGAAUUAUUCAUGGAGAAUCUGGUUAUGGCAAAUUUUAUUAUGGAGAUUCAUCCGAUGUAAUAGAAUAGCUUUAUUUGCUAAAAUCAAUACAUAACUACAGUGUUGUAUGGUUACAACAUGUAGAGUUUUGCAAGUGAGAGUUACAGGAAGUCACUAUUGCAAGAUGGCAUUCAGUUAACACACGUACAAUCGACUGAUCACUGUAUCUUUUUUUGCUAAUUUAAUUUGAAAAAGCUAUUGCAAACAAUUUUUUCUUCUGAAAUCAUAUACUCUGUUUAUUUCUAAUGUGAUUUUGUUACUGUUUGUAUGGCAUUUCUCUGUCUAAAUUUUUUGUUACAUAAAUCAAUCUGCAUAUAUGUGUGCAGGCUGUGAAUCGACAAACAGCCCAGAAAAUAUGGCAUGCUACAUACCCUUGGAGGAAUCUCAAGACUUAGGAAUGGUGCCCCGACAAUUGUGAGCGGCACAAAGGAAGGGCCGCCAUCACCAAGGAAGUACGUUGACAAUUGUGGACUCCAAAGAGGAACAAGCUCUAUAUUUAGUGCAUUGAGUUGCUAUUUUAAAUUCUAAGAGGUGUUGAAUUUUGUCGAUUUCUAAGACAUUGACUCGGAAGAAUUAUUAUUUUGCUUGAUGUAAACUCAGAUUAAUUUGUCAUGUCAUUUGAACCGAACAACCUUUUUGUGACA